rnacentral:lncRNA from 1 species
AUGAAAGUAAGACUCAAACCCAACUCUGCUUGACACCAGAAACUAUCUUCUCAACGGCUACACUAUACUACCCUCCCUGCCCUGCUGCCACCCAAUUUCCUGAUUAUCUUCAAGGAUAAUCUUAAAACAAACUCAUGAGAAUCGUAUAAAUAUUUGCUAUAGCAAAGUCAUGACUCAUUAUGUUUUGGAGCACCAGAGUCUUAUAGGAAAAUGUUAAUUUCUCCAAAAUAUGUUUGCUCUUAAAUGUUUAAAGUGCUGCUUAAAUUAGACUGUUUCUGCGUUACGAAAGCUUUACUUUCCACCAGCCAUUGGGAAAUUGUGAGAUGAAUGGAAUUUGUCAUUACAGAGCAGUUUCAACUGAUGGAUUGAUUGAAGCCUUCCCAUUUCUACCUUCUGCCUGCUGUGUUGGACCUCGCAUGCUCAGCAGUCAUUAGCACCCCUUAUACCCCUAACGGUGGCACCAGAAAGGUUCAUUUUCAAGGAAGCUAUGAUUAUUACCAAAGGCAGAGUAUUUAAUAAAAGGCUGUUCCACGAAUGUUAAUGAGAAAAGGUGACUUUGGACACUUAGGCCAUACUUUGGAGAGGCUACACCAUAAAGAGGAAUCUUUCUUGAUAUCAGAUAUGAAGCAAGCUUCUCAGAUCCAGGGAUCAAUGACUGAUCAUAUCAGUGUUGACUUAAGAUAUGUGGAAAAUAUUCUUUGUCUAAGUAUCUGGGAAUGUUGCAAAAUAAAAUACCAUCUUGCCUUCUGUCAG